rnacentral:rRNA from 1 species
UAAUAAAAUAAUUAUGUUUUUUAUAAUUUAUUAUGAAUUUAUUUUACAUAUAAAUUUUAGUAUUAAAUUUUCUGUUAUUUAAAAAAUAAUUAAUUAAUUAAGUAGUAAUUAGUAUUAAAAAUUUAAGAAAUUAAGAUUUAGUAAUAUAAAAAUUAAUAACUAAUUUUGUGCCAGCAGUUGCGGUUAAACAAAGAUUAAAUUAAAUUAUUUCAGUUUAUAAUAAAUAAAAUUUAAUUAAAAUAAAUAUUAAAUUAUUAGGUGAAAUUUUAAUUUAAUUAAAUUUUAUUAUGGUUUUAUGAUUUAAUAAAUUUAAAAAUAAACUAGGAUUAGAUACCCUAUUAUUAAAAAUUUAAUUUAUAAUACUAAAAUAGUAAGUAAUAAUUUAUUGAAACUUAAAUAAUAUGGCGGUAUUUUAGUUCAUUUAGAGGAAUCUGUCUAUUAAUUGAUAAUCCACGAAUAAAUUUACUUAAUUUAUAAUUUUGUAUAUCAUUGUUAAAAAAAUAUUUUUUAGUGAAAAUAAUAUUUUAAAUUUAAAAAUAAAAAUUAAUUCAGAUCAAGAUGCAGAGUAUAAUUAAGAAUAUGAUGGAUUACAAUAAAUAUAUUUAAAUGAAAAAUUGUUUUGAAAUAAAAAUUUGAAGGUGGAUUUAAAUGUAAUUUUAAUUAAUUUAUUAUAAUGAUUAAAAAUUAAAAUAUGUACAUAUUGCCCGUCACUUUCAUUUUAAAAUUGGAAUAAGUCGUAACAAAGUAGAGGUACUGGAAAGUGUUUCUAGAAAGAU